rnacentral:rRNA from 1 species
UACGUAGGGUGCAAGCGUUAAUCGGAAUUACUGGGCGUAAAGCGUGCGCAGGCGGUUUUGUAAGUCUGUCGUGAAAUCCCCGGGCUUAACCUGGGAAUUGCGAUGGAGACUGCAAGGCUAGAAUCUGGCAGAGGGGGGUAGAAUUCCACGUGUAGCAGUGAAAUGCGUAGAGAUGUGGAGGAACACCGGUGGCGAAGGCGGCUCUCUGGACCGACACUGACGCUGAGGCGCGAAAGCGUGGGGAGCAAACAGG